AAGGGUAAAGAGGCAGAGGGGGAAGAAAAAAAGUAAAGAGAAGAAGAUAUUUAAAAAACGGUUUGAUUAUAAUAAGUAUAAUAUAAUAUACAUUAAUAUUUAUAUUUUAAGAUAUUAAUAUUUUAAUAUUAACUGUAAUUAUGCAUAUUAAUUAUGAUUUAAUUAAUUUAAUGUAACAAUUAAUAAUAAAAAAAUAGGGAAAACAAAUAGGAAAGCUAACCAUAGCACAGCAAAGGAAAGCAAAGCAAAGAAGAAAAAAUGAAGAAAACUUGCAGGAAUCUAGGAAACAACACAAAGUGUUAUGAGGAAAACAAAAAUGAAAAGAAAGGAAGUGAAAAAGGCUGUGGCGAGCAGUCCAUUAGGACUGCUUACAGAACGUCCAGUGACAGAAAGAAACCCUCUGGAGCAACAAACAACACCAGAGGACUCAGAGGCAGCAGCUCCCUCCAUGUUUGGGUUCCCAUCAUGCAAGGCUUGCAUGAUGCAGGAGAUGCCUGAGAAAAGUUCUGCCCCUGCUUGCCACAGGACCUCCGCAGAAGGAGAACAAUCUUGGCCAAAGGGUGGAUGGUAUCACAGUAUGAAUGAAGGUCAGCGUAGGAGCAGCUGCUGAUGGGAGGAAGGAAGUCCAGGCUAAUGAACUCUGAAGCAUCUCCCAGUAAAGUACCAGAGGGGGCAGGAAUGAUGUUGCAGAAGAACAUGAGAAGCUCCCCAGCAGGAAGCCACAAACCCUGCAGAAACCUGCAGGAGAGUUGGAGCAUGUGUGGAUGCCCUGGAGGAAAUCCAGCCCCAGUGUUUGAGCAGCGCAUGGCCAUGGAGUGCUGCGGCCCGAGAACAGAGCUAUUCUGACUUUGCCAAGCUGGCUUCCUGAGAGGGACUUGUCUGUCCGCAUAAAAACCAGAGGGCUGGUGUGGGAAUACAAGAAAGACUGUUCAGAGCAGAAGCUGCAAAGCAAGAUAAACAGCAUGAGAAAGCAAGGCUGAGAACCAAGGACAUCUCCAGAAUACAUGGAAAAAGUAACUACAGUUUAGCAACAAUUGUAAGGGAUUGUAACCAUUUGUGCCCACCGUGACUGUGAACUGCAUGCUCUGCAGAUGUAUCUUCAGGAUACAGAAAACAGUGGAAAAAUACCAGGUUAAGGCAGUGUGGGUAUAAAAGUCUGUAGAUGAAGAUAAUAAAGGACUCUGCUAUGCAUCCACAUUAGUGUCCAUGAUUUAAUUGCCACAAAUGACGCCCUGAAUCAGGGACUUGAAUCAGCUUACUCGGCUGACUGGUGGCAAGCCCCACUGAACUUGAGACUGCUGAAAGGAAGCAGGAUUGACCAUACAGUAACAACAUCUCUGCUGGACAGAGGUGAGCAGUGGGGAACUAUAGGUCAUGAAAUGUCCAAGGAACAAAAAGCAAUUUAUCAGAUGACGGAGCAUAUUCUGCAGAAGCAUCACGUAAAAGUAGAUUCUGUGGAUUUGAAACGCCUUCUUGUAUGGGUUUCCAGCCAUAUAGGUGGAGUGACUAGCGUCUCCAUCUACAAAACAAACAUGUGGAACCAAGUGGGGGUGAAACUCUGGGAUACUGCUAUUAGCUCAGAUACUGCAGCACACGGUCUUUUAGGGCUGUGGAGAACUGUUUUUGAGACUUUCAAGAAACAUAUGGGUUCGGCAGGAUUGGCAGAGUCUGAGGAGCCUCUGUUAUUGGGCGCAGCCACAAAUAAUCAACAGGACAGGCCAGACAACUCGCUGGAUCCCAAGCUCAUGGACUCAGAGAAAGAACUCGAUCCCUCUCCCUCAUCGCUCACUGUGCCACAACCAUCCACCCCACCACCACUGCCUGCUGCUCCGCUUCUGCCACCUACAUGUAAUUUGAUUAAAGACAAGGAUGGUUCCCCCCCUGAAGUGCAUGAUAUGUGGUGAGCAAUCCAAAAGGAAGCAGAAUCAAGCGGGGAUCUUGAAAUGCUCCAUCGGUUGCACUCGGCACUCACAUGCCCUGUGAUAUAUGAGCCGAACAGACCCCCAAGAUGGGAGGGAAUGAGUUUCCAAGUAAUAAAGGAACUCAGGAAAACAGUUCUUGACUUUGGGCUAGGAUCUCUGCAUACGAUUACCUUCCUGGGCUCAGUAAUGAAGGGCUUUAUCCUUUGUCCAAGCGACUGCAAAACCCUGGCGCAAUUGAUCCUGACAUGUACUCAGUUUAUGAUGUGGAUGGGAUAUUGAAGAGAACCCAAUGAAAAGCAAUUGAAAAUUUGGGAAGACAGCAGGGAGAUCCUUCCCUGCUGAUGGGAGAAGACGCACUGCUAGGAGAGGGUGCUUUUGCUACCAUGGGAGCCCAAGUACAGCUCCCUGUUGCAGCCUUGGAACAGUCCAAGGAAUUAGUCCUUGGCGCUUUUAUGAAAGUCCCAGAUGCUGGAAAACUGCAGAUAUCAUUUACCAGCAUUAAACAGGGUCCUACUGAGCCCUACAUGCAGUUUAUUGACAAGCUGAAAGAUAGCCUUGACAAGCAAAUUGAGAAUGAGGAAGCACGAGAGAUACUGUUAAACAAGCUUGCGAUAGAAAAUGCAAAUGAGGAUUGCCAAAAAGUGUUUCAUCCCUUAUCUAACCCUACGCUUCUGCAAAUGCGCAACAAGAUAGGGACAAUGCACCACUAGUGUAACAUGAUGGCUUCAGCCCUUGCAGCCAUGAAAUUCAGUUUGCAAAACUGCUUUGUAUGUGGGCAGCCACAUCAUUUAUGCUGAGAUUGUCCUAAUAAAAAGGCUCCUGAUCUGCUGGAAGUAUGCCCAAGGUGUCAUAAAGGACAACAUUAUGUGGAUCAAUGCUGUUCUCACAUUAAUAAAGAUGGGCAAUCCAUUUAGGGAAACGGGGUUCGGAGUGUGCAGCAGGGGUGCGCAACGACACAAAUGGCCCCAGUGCAGGCAUUGACACCACAACCAAUCCCUAUGUCCCCAGGUUAUACACCAGGACCUGUGGCAGUGCCGGAGUGGACCUGGCCACCUCCAAACCAGUAACCCUUGACUCCACGGCAGUGCAAGUGGUGGCUACCAGGGUAAAUGGUCUAUUGGGAAAUUGACUGAGUGCUUUGCUUCUAGGGUGUUCAUCUGCCACAGUGCAAGGUCUUUUUGUGUCACCAGGUCUCACAGAUGCUGAUUAUACUGGAGAGAGAAAAAUUAUGGUCUGGACACCAGUGCCCCCAUGUGAAGUACCAGUGGCCACUUGUAUUACUCAAUUGAUUUAUUUUCAGGCACAGUCGGUUCCGGCUGUGCCUGUGGAAAGGGUGGCUGCAGGGUUUGGAUCUACAGGGACACCCCAAAUAUUGUGGAUACAGAAGGUGUCAGAUGCUCAACCUAUGUUAACCUGUAUUCUGGAAUCAGGCACCCCCCCACAGAAAUUUGACGUUUCAGGAAUUUUAGACACAGGCGCUGAUGUGACUGUGAUUGCUCAAGAUGCCUGGCCAUCACACUGGCCCACUAUACGAGUGCACACAGCACUUGCUGGCAUAGGGAGGCAGUCUCUUCCUUUGCAAAGCUCACACAUAAUUCGAGUAGUGGGUCCAGAAGGGAGAAGAGCUUGCAUCCAUCCAUAUAUUCUUCAAGCCCCAUUAACUCUCUAGGGUAGGGUUGUCUUUCACAGUGGGGAACCAGUAUUGGGUCAAAUUUCUCCUGGGGCAACUGAAGUGCAGCAAACCCCAUCACUCACAUGGAAGACAAAAGAUCCUGUAUGGGUUGAUCAGUGGCCCCUCAGUAGUGAGAAGCUGCAUCAUUUACGUAAUUUAGUUCAGGAACAACUGCAGGCUGGACAUACAGUCCCCACGACUAGUCCCUGGAGCUCACCAGUGUUUGUCAUAAGAAAGUAGAGUGGAAAGUGGCAAUUAUUGCAUGACUUGCGACAAAUUAAUGCCAUGAUUGAAGAUAUGGGAGCAUUACAACCAGGACUUCCAUCCCCUUCAGUGUUACCGAAAAACUGGUGCCUAACUGUUAUUGACUUAAAAGACUGUUUUUUCACCAUCCCUCUGGAUCCCAGUGAUGCUCCCAAGCUUGCUUUCUCCCGUUCCUUCUGUACAUGCGUCUGCACCAGCAGUAUCACUGGACAGUAUUACCCCAAGGAACAAAAAACAGGCCCACAAUCUGUCAGUGGUUUGUUGCCAAAGCUUUAACCCCUGCAAGGGAAAAACUGUCUAAUGCUGUUAUUUACCAUUACAUGGAUGACACCCUUGUGGCAACCAGGUCACCUGAAGAAAUGCGACAUGCCAUGGCUGCAGUCAUUAACAACAUUAAAAGCUGUAGCUUAGAGGUAGCACCAGAAAAAGUUCAAAAGAGUUUACCAUGGAUGUAUUUAGGAUGGCGAAUUACAAAUCAGACUAUUGCUCCACAGUGCCUUAAAAUAAAUUCAGAAAUCCAAACUCUAUAUGAUAUGCAAAGGCUGCUAGGAACUAUAAAUUGGGUCAGGCCUUUACUAGGAAUAUCUAAUGAAACUUUACACCCAUUUUUUCAAUUGCUGAAGAGCAAUUCAGCUUUGAAUUCAAAAAGAUCACAGACACAUGCAGCGCAGAAAGCCCUGCAGCAGGUUGCCACAAAGAGACAAGCUCAGCAAUAGGACCCUGCCCUUCCAUUUCAAUUAAUAGUAUUGAACCCAGAUUUCCAGGCUUAUGCUCUUCUCUUUCAGUGGGAUAAUGACUUGAAUGAUUCUCUUUUAAUAUUGGAAUGGAUCUUUCUGCCUGAUCAGUUUUCUGAAACAAUUACUGCAAAAGUUGAAAUGAUCUCUGCUCUCAUUAUGCGAGGAAGACAAAAGUUGUUGUCGCUGAGCAGGUCCGAACCAUUGGUGGUUACGUUACCUAUGUCUACAAACAUGUUACAAUGGUUGUUCUAAUGUUCAUUUCCUUUUCAUGUGACAAUGGAGGGAUUCGCCAGGGUGACAUCAAUACACACACUGGGGCAUAAAUUGCUACAAACACAUUUUAAUAUAUAGGAAGUCCCCAAAAGUUCUUCAGUGCCUUUAGAUGCCUUGACUGUAUUCACAGAUGGGUCAGGGAAAACAGGUCAAUCAGUAAUUGUAUGGCAGGACUAGCCUAGCCAAUGGCAAUCAGAUAUUCAAACAAUAAAGGGAUCUCUGCAAUUUUAGAACUAGCUGCCGUAGUAAGAACGUUUCAAAAGUGGUCUAGUCCUAUUAAUAUCAUCACUGAUUCAGCUUAUGUUACAGGAAUAGUGACUAGAAUAGAAGGAUCAUAUUUAAAAGAUGUUUCCAGUGGACAACUGUUGAUGCUUCUGUAUACUCUUCUGUCUCUA